rnacentral:rRNA from 1 species
UACGGAGGAUGCAAGCGUUAUCCGGAUUGAUUGGGCGUAAAGCGUCUGUAGGUGGUUACGCUAGUCGGCUGUUAAAGAUCAGGGCUGAACCCUGAGCAAGCAGUCGAAACUGCGUGGCUGGAGUACGGUAGGGGCAGAGGGAAUUCCCGGUGUAGUGGUGGAAUGCGUAGAUAUCGGGGGGAAUACCAGUGGCGAAAGCGGACACCCUGGCGUCGUACUGACGCUCAUGUGCGAAACGUGGGGAGCAAACACGG